GCCCGAAUGGUGGAAUGGUAGACACGAGGGACUUAAAAUCCCUUGGCCAUUACGGCUGUAUGGGUUCGAGUCCCAUUUCGGGCA
rnacentral:tRNA from 1 species